UCAAGAAACUUCCACAAUGGGCGAAAGCCUGAUGGAGCGACGUCGCGUGAUGGACGAAGUGCUUCGGCACGUAAACAUCUUUUAUGUGGGAUGAAAUUAUUGACAGUACCACAUGAAUAAGGGGCUCCUAACUCUGUGCCAGCAGGAGCGGUAAUACAGAGGCCCCAAGCGUUAUCCGGAAUCACUGGGCGUAAAGGGUGUCGAGGCGGUUGUAUUAGUCGUUCGUAAAAUCUACGAGCUUAACUUGUAGGCGGCGAACGAAACGGUACGACUUGAGGUUUGGAGAGGUGCGUGGAACUCACGGUGUAGGGGUGAAAUCCGUUAAUAUCGUGGGGAACACCAAAGGCGAAGGCAGCGCACUGGCCAAAAUCUGACGCUCACACACGAAAGCUAGGGUAGCGAAGAGGAUUAGAUACCCCGGUAGUCCCUGAGCGGGCUGGCAAGGCGCAU
rnacentral:rRNA from 1 species